rnacentral:lncRNA from 1 species
CACACACACACCAAGUAGUGGUGUGGUGCCUGUAGUAGGCAGGAGAGCUGGCCCUGCCCCUCACCAGAUGCAGCACUUGGGAAAGUGGACCUUGCACCCUGCCUGGACUACACAGUAGAGCUGGCCCCAAUGGCAAAAGCAACGACUGGCCAGCCUCAAGCGGGUGAGAGAUGGCUCUCGGGAGACUGGACCCCUCACCUCAAGUGGGCAGCGUAGUAGAGCUGGCUCUGGUGGCACGAGUGCAGGUGAGCUUGACCUAAAGGCAUGAGGGCAGGAACAUUGACCCUGCCCACUUCAGCUUCAGAACAGGCUGGGGUCAUGCUUCAGUGUUGUCUAGUUGUCCUUUUCUCUCUAAUCCUCCCUCCCCCCACCCCCCGGAGAGUCUGUUGACUGCCUGAGCUUACUUGGUUAAUUUUGCUAAGAUCUGGAGACCUGUUUCAUGUACAUAUAUUUCUGCAGCCGAAGAUACCAAUGCUUGGGUCGUAUUUGAUGCCUACGUCAAUGUGUUCCUGAAUCCAAAACCAAAGUUUCCAGUAUCUGAGAAGUUAUUUUUUCGUAACUCAUAUUCCCACACCUUCAGGCCUUUCUCCAGCAUUUCCUCUGCCUUGGCUCCACGGACUGUGCAGUGAACAGCAAUCUUCUCAUUUCUCCGGAUGCCAAAGGACCUGACAGUGUAUCUAGCUUUGGAAAACACCAGGGUCUGGCCUGUGAGCUGCUCCAACACCAUGGCUGCCCGGGUCAGUCUGCCUCCGCUCUCCCCGACACAGAUAUUGAGGCAGAGCUGCGGAUGCGAAGUUCCGGCAUGAGGUUUUCAUUUUCCCCAUGCUCUUGCGCCAUGGUGGAGAGCAGGAAGAGUCAUAUUUUCACUUUAUGAAUAUGAUGAGUUUUCCCUUGGGGCUGGAGAGGUGGCUUAGAGGUUAAGAGCACCAGCUUUUAGUGCAGGGAUCUUGAGUUCAAGUCCCAACACCCACAGGGCAGCCAUCAAACCAUCUAUAACUAUUGUCCUAUAGGAUGCCGUGUGUGCCCUUAAACACCAAUAUACAUAAACGAAUAAACCUAAACAAACAAAAAAUGUUUCCCUGCAUGUAUGUCUGUGUGCCGUGUAAAUGCAGUGCCUACAGAGGCCAGAAGAGGGAACUGGAGUCCCUGGAAGUGGGAUUACAGAUAGUUGUGAGCCAUCAUGUAGGUGUUGGGAAUCAAACCCAGUUCCUCUGGAAGACUAGCCAGAGCUCUUAACUGUUGCGUUAUCUCUCCAGCCCCUCAAGACUUUUUAAAAAAAUUUUAUGUCUUGUUUGUUUGUUUGUUUGUUUGUUUGCCUUCAUGUAUGUAAGCACCCUAAAUAUGUGUCUGGUGCCAAUGAAGGUUAGAAGAGGGUGUCAGGUCUCCUGAAACUGGAGUUACAGCAGAUAUGACCUGCCGUGUCGGUAUUGAGAACCCAAGCCCAGUCCUCAAUAAGAGCUAGUGAUAUUAACCACUGGACCAUCUCUCUCCAUCCCUGGAGAUUUUCUUAAUAAACUCUAGCCACACUGUC